CACUCCUGCGGGAGGCAGCAGUGGGGAAUUUUGGACAAUGGGCGAAAGCCUGAUCCAGCAAUGCCGCGUGUGUGAAGAAGGCCUUCGGGUUGUAAAGCACUUUUGUCCGGAAAGAAAUCCUUGGCUCUAAUACAGUCGGGGGAUGACGGUACCGGAAGAAUAAGCACCGGCUAACUACGUGCCAGCAGCCGCGGUAAUACGUAGGGUGCGAGCGUUAAUCGGAAUUACUGGGCGUAAAGCGUGCGCAGGCGGUUUGCUAAGACCGAUGUGAAAUCCCCGGGCUCAACCUGGGAACUGCAUUGGUGACUGGCAGGCUAGAGUAUGGCAGAGGGGGGUAGAAUUCCACGUGUAGCAGUGAAAUGCGUAGAGAUGUGGAGGAAUACCGAUGGCGAAGGCAGCCCCCUGGGCCAAUACUGACGCUCAUGCACGAAAGCGUGGGGAGCAAACAGGAUUAGAUACCCUAGUAGUCCCA
rnacentral:rRNA from 1 species